CUGAUAUGGAACAAUAAGUCUUCGUUACGCAAGACCGCCGCCAUUUUUUUUGCGAGCAUUGAAAGCGUAUCGUUAGAUAAUCUGUACGGCGUAUUUUCCUUCUCCAUAGUUUUCUUCAUAAAAAUGCUGAUUAAGUGGCCUGAGCAGAGCCUGAGCAUCUCUACUUUUUGCCAAGAUGUCGUCUACUUUUCCUGUACCGGCUGUACGUUUUGUAAGAAACACUUCAGAACAAAUCAGUGAUAAACAGUCUGGGAAAGUCUGAGCUUCGUCGUUGCUGCCCAAUGUACACAUGGAUUUGAUGCAGCCAGCUGGUAAAGGGUGUUCCACUUGCUACCUGUACUGUUGUGUGUUUCGUCAAAUGAAGAAACAACUGAAGUUUCGCGUUCAUGUUCGUGUAAUUGCUGUCCGAUGUGGCACGUUGUUGCAGCCUAUGCUGGUGAAAGAUCUUUCUACAUCAAAUUCAAUUAGCCGUUCCUUGGUGCUGAUUUUGUGUUACCGAAGUUGCAUCAUAUUUUGUUAAAUUGUCAUCGUAACUAUGCAGUUUACCGUUUAUAAGUUCAGAAGCAACAAAAACAAAGAUGGGAUGUUUAUGUCAACAAAUAAUAAACAUGUUUCCGGGAUUGGGAAAGGAAAGUGGAGGGGAGAGAGAGGAUAUUUCAAGUAUGGAUAAAAUUCCGUGAUUCUAUAACCCUACAAACGUAUCCCUACCAAUUAAUCUCCAAACCCCACAAACAUUUACCUUCCGAUUCUUCAAACCCCGAAAACAUACACCUACCAACCCUUGAAUUUAUACCCUUAACCCUAUAAACCAAUAUUGAACCAUAACCAUGUAAUAUCUGUAAUAAAUAAACAUAAAUAUAUUACAUGAA